UACGUAGGGUGCGAGCGUUAAUCGGAAUUACUGGGCGUAAAGCGUGCGCAGGCGGUUUUGUAAGCCAGAUGUGAAAUCCCCGGGCUUAACCUGGGAAUGGCAUUUGGGACUGCAAGGCUGGAGUGCGGCAGAGGAGACUGGAAUUCCUGGUGUAGCAGUGAAAUGCGUAGAUAUCAGGAGGAACACCGGUGGCGAAGGCGGGUCUCUGGGCAGUAACUGACGCUGAGGAACGAAAGCGUGGGUAGCGAACAGG
rnacentral:rRNA from 1 species